CUGCGGCGGAUUAGCUAGUUGGUGGGGUAACGGCCUACCAAGGCGAUGAUCCGUAGGGGGCGUGAGAGCGUGGCCCCCCACACUGGCACUGAGACACGGGCCAGACUCCUACGGGAGGCAGCAGUGAGGAAUAUUGCACAAUGGGCGCAAGCCUGAUGCAGCAACGCCGCGUGAGGGACGAAGGCCUUCGGGUCGUAAACCUCUUUUCUGGGGGACGAGUAAGGACGGUACCUCAGGAAUAAGUCUCGGCUAACUACGUGCCAGCAGCCGCGGUAAAACGUAGGAGGCGAGCGUUAUCCGGAUUUACUGGGCGUAAAGCGUACGCAGGUGGCUUCGUGAGUCGGACAUGAAAGCUCCCGGCUUAACUGGGAGAGGUUGUUCGAUACUGCGAGGCUUGAGGUUGGGAGAGGGACGUGGAAUUCCCGGUGUAGUGGUGGAAUGCGUAGAUAUCGGGAGGAACACCAGUGGCGCAAGCGGCGUCCUGGCCCACACCUGACGCUGAGGUACGAAAGCGUGGGUAGCAAACAGGAUUAGAUACCCUGGUAGUCCACGCUGUAAACGAUGUCAACUGGGUGUCGGUAGUUUUACACUAUCGGUGCCGAAGCCAACGCG
rnacentral:rRNA from 1 species